AGAGUUUGAUCCUGGCUCAGGAUGAACGCUAGCUACAGGCUUAACACAUGCAAGUCGUGGGGCAGCGGAUACUUAGCUUGCUAAGUAUGCCGGCGACCGGCGCACGGGUGAGUAACGCGUACCGAACCUGCCCAUCACACAGGGAUAGGCUUGCGAAAGCAAGAUUAAUACCUGAUGGUCUCAGUUUUAUGCAUGUAAGAUUGAGUAAAGCCUUCGGGCGGUGAUGGAUGGCGGUGCGUCCCAUUAGGAAGUUGGCGGGGUAACGGCCCACCAAUCCUUCGAUGGGUAGGGGUUCUGAGAGGAAGGUCCCCCACAUUGGAACUGAGAUACGGUCCAAACUCCUACGGGAGGCAGCAGUGAGGAAUAUUGGUCAAUGGGCGAGAGCCUGAACCAGCCAAGUAGCGUGCAGGAUGACGGCCCUCCGGGUUGUAAACUGCUUUUAGUUGGGAAUAAAAAAAGGGACUUGUCCCUUCUUGUAUGUACCUUCAGAAAAAGGACCGGCUAAUUCCGUGCCAGCAGCCGCGGUAAUACGGAAGGUCCGGGCGUUAUCCGGAAUUAUUGGGUUUAAAGGGAGCGCAGGCGGGAGUGUAAGUCAGCUGUUAAAUAUCAGGGCCCAACUCUGUUAUGCAGUUGAAACUAUAUUUCUUGAGUACGCACAGGGAUGGCGGAAUUCAGGGUGUAGCGGUGAAAUGCUUAGAUAUCCUGAAGAACUCCGAUCGCGAAGGCAGCCAUCCGGAGCGUAACUGACGCUGAGGCUCGAAGGUGCGGGUAUCAAACAGGAUUAGAUACCCUGGUAGUCCGCACGGUAAACGAUGAAUACUCGCAGUUCGGUCUUUAUGGUCGAGCUGUCCAGCGAAAGCGUUAAGUAUUCCACCUGGGGAGUACGCCGGCAACGGUGAAACUCAAAGGAAUUGACG
rnacentral:rRNA from 1 species